rnacentral:rRNA from 1 species
CCUACGGGGGGCAGCAGUGGGGAAUAUUGCACAAUGGGGGAAACCCUGAUGCAGCGACGCCGCGUGAGUGAGGAAGUAUUUCGGUAUGUAAAGCUCUAUCAGCAGGGAAGAUAAUGACGGUACCUGACUAAGAAGCCCCGGCUAACUACGUGCCAGCAGCCGCGGUAAUACGUAGGGGGCAAGCGUUAUCCGGAUUUACUGGGGGUAAAGGGAGCGUAGACGGUUUAACAAGUCAGAAGUGAAAAACCAGGGCUCAACCGUGGGACUGCUUUUGAAACUGAUUAGCUAGAGUGAGGGAGAGGUAUGCGGAAUGCGUGGUGUAGCGGUGAAAUGCGUAGAUAUCAGGAAGAACACCGAUGGCGAAGGCAGCAUACUGG